GGGGAAACCUCAUCAGCAGUUCAGCAGGAUGUCUCAGAGAAAGAGGAGCUUCACAUUUGGAGCUUAUGGAGGAGUUGACAAGAGCUUCUCCAGGACCAGAACCUCAUGGAAACAAGAUGGAAGGAUUUCUCAAAUAUCUGAUGCAGCAGAGCGGAUACUAGCCCACUCCCACCCUCAGGUUCCUCUGUCCUCACUUU